AGUGAACGCCGGCGGCGUGCUUAACACAUGCAAGUCGAACGAGAACGGGUUAUAGCUUGCUAUAAUUGUCAGCUAAGUGGCGCACGGGUGAGUAAUGUAUAGGUAAUAUGCCUCUUACUAAGGGAUAACAAAUGGAAACGUUUGCUAAUACCUUAUACUCCUUAUUAACAGAAGUUAAUAAGGGAAAGAUUUAUUGGUAAGAGAUUAGCCUGUAUUGUAUCAGUUAGUUGGUGGGGUAAUGGCUUACCAAGGCUAUGACACAUAACUGGUUUGAGAGGAUGAUCAGGCACACUGGAACUGAGACACGGUCCAGACUCCUACGGGAGGCAGCAGUGGGGAAUAUUGCACAAUGGACGGAAGUCUGAUGCAGCGACGCCGCGUGGAGGAUGACACAUUUCGGUGCGUAAACUCCUUUUAUAUGAGAAGAUAAUGACGGUAUUAUAUGAAUAAGCACCGGCUAACUCCGUGCCAGCCGCCGCCGUAAAAC
rnacentral:rRNA from 1 species